CAACCCUCAAGCAUUGCUUGGUGUUGGGCAGGGUCCUAAGGGACCUCCCCGCAACUUGUAGGCGGUCAUCGCCGGCUCCCCAGCGUAGCAGGCUCACGCACUCGCUCGGGGAUAGGCGAGGGCUGCCCGGCAACCAAACCCUCCUCAAG
rnacentral:misc_RNA from 1 species